rnacentral:rRNA from 1 species
UGGGUAACCUGCCUCAAAGAGGGGAAUAGCCUCCCGAAAGGGAGAUUAAUACCGCAUAAUAUGUUUUAAUCGCAUGAUUUUAACAUCAAAGGUAUUUUCUUAGGAAAUUCCACUUUGAGAUGGACCCGCGGCGCAUUAGCUAGUUGGUGAGGUAACGGCUCACCAAGGCAACGAUGCGUAGCCGACCUGAGAGGGUGAUCGGCCACAUUGGAACUGAGACACGGUCCAGACUCCGUAGGGAG